rnacentral:rRNA from 1 species
CCUACGGGUGGCAGCAGUAGGGAAUCUUCCACAAUGGGCGAAAGCCUGAUGGAGCAACGCCGCGUGGGUGAAGACGGUCUUCGGAUCGUACAACUCUGUUGUUAGGGAAGAAAAUGCGUGAAGGUAACUGUUCACGUUUCGACGGUAUCUAACCAGAAAGCCACGGCUAACUACGUGCCAGCGGCCGCGGUAAUACGUAGGUGGCAAGCGUUAUCCGGAUUUCUUGGGCGUACAGGGACAGCAGGCGGGUGUUUAAGUCUGAUGUGAAAGCCUGGGGAUUAACCGCAGGAGUGCAUGGGAAACUGGGUAGCUAGAGUGCAGUAGAGGUAAGUGGAAUUCCUAGUGUAGCGGUGAAAUGCGUAGAUAUUAGGAGGAACACCAGUGGCGAAGGCGGCUUACUGGACGGUAACUGACGUUGAGGCUCGAAAGCGUGGGGAGCAAACAGGAUUAGAUACCCGAGUAGUC